rnacentral:rRNA from 1 species
CUACGGGACGCAGCAGUGGGGAAUAUUGCACAAUGGAGGAAACUCUGAUGCAGCAACGCCGCGUGGAGGAUGACACUUUUCGGAGCGUAAACUCCUUUUAUAUAGGAAGAAGAUGACGGUACUAUAUGAAUAAGCGCCGGCUAACUCCGUGCCAGCAGCCGCGGUAAUACGGAGGGCGCAAGCGUUACUCGGAAUCACUGGGCGUAAAGAGCGUGUAGGCGGAUUAAAAAGUCAGAAGUGAAAUCCUAUAGCUUAACUAUAGAACUGCUUCUGAAACUCUUAAUCUAGAAUAUGGGAGAGGUAGAUGGAAUUUCUGGUGUAGGGGUAGAAUCCGUAGAGAUCAGAAGGAAUACCGAUUGCGAAGGCGAUCUACUAGAACAUUAUUGACGCUGAGACGCGAAAGCGUGGGGAGCAAACAGGAUUAGAUACCCGUGUAGUC